UACGUAGGGUGCAAGCGUUGUCCGGAAUUAUUGGGCGUAAAGAGCUCGUAGGCGGUCUGUCACGUCGGCUGUGAAAACCCGAGGCUCAACCUCGGGCCUGCAGUCGAUACGGGCAAACUAGAGUACUGCAGGGGAGACUGGAAUUCCUGGUGUAGCGGUGAAAUGCGCAGAUAUCAGGAGGAACACCGGUGGCGAAGGCGGGUCUCUGGGCAGUAACUGA
rnacentral:rRNA from 1 species